UGAGAGGGGGAGGAGGCGAGAGAAAGGGAAGGGAGGAGGCGAGAGAAAGGGAAGGGAGGAGGCGAGAGAGAGUGAGGGAAGGAGGCGAGAGAGAGUGAGGGAAGGAGGUGAGAGAGGGAGUGAGAGAGUGAGGGAAGGAGGUGAGAGAGGGAGUGAGAGAGUGAGGGAAGGAGGUGAGAGAGGGAGUGAGAGAGUGAGGGAAGGAGGUGAGAGAGGGAGUGAGAGAGUGAGGGAAGGAGGUGAGAGAGGGAGUGAGAGAGUGAGGGAAGGAGGUGAGAGAGGGAGUGAGAGAGUGAGGGAAGGAGGUGAGAGAGGGAGUGAGAGAGUGAGGGAAGGAGGUGAGAGAGGGAGUGAGGGAAGGAGGUGAGAGAGGGAGUGAGGGAAGGAGGUGAGAGAGGGAGUGAGGGAAGGAGGUGAGAGAGGGAGUGAGGGAAGGAGGUGAGAGAGGGAGUGAGGGAAGGAGGUGAGAGAGGGAGUGAGGGAAGGAGGUGAGAGAGGGAGUGAGGGAAGGAGGUGAGAGAGGGAGUGAGGGAAGGAGGUGAGAGAGGGAGUGAGGUGAGAGAGGGAGUGAGGGAAGGAGGUGAGAGAGAGGGAGUGAGAGAGAGAGUUUAAACAUCAAGAGAAAGUAACCCAUUGCAACUAUUAGUUAUGAGAUAGAAGUUCAAUCACAUGACUGUCGUAUUUUAAUAAGGA